GUGAUAAGAAACGUUUGAUUUUACUUAACUUUUUGUGCAAUUUCAUAAUGUUCCUCACCAACGAUCCGAGGUUGGAGCAUAAUUGACGGUGAAUCUAAAGGAUCUAUCAUGUCUACUAUAAGUUCUUACUUAAAUGUCUUGCAUCAUAUAUUAUUGAGUAAAUUUUGCUUCUGUUAGUUACUUGCUGAUUGAUUCAGCCUCCGUUUGGCUUUUCAAUAUCUUUCUGUAUCACUGCUUAAGAGAGUCCUGAAGAAAGUUGAAACCAUCAAGAGUUCAAGAUCAAGGGUUCCCAAUUUUGAGCCGCCUCAAAUUGAAGCUAAUGGUGCACCUAGAAAUCGCACAAAAUGUCUUCAUUUAAGGGGUUCUUCUAAAGUAAAUAUUUAUUUAGCUUAUUUUUAGAAUUUAGUGUUUUUUCAAAGUGAAUAACCAUUUUAUUUUGUUUUCACGACUUAAAAGAUAGUGAUGCACGAUGUCCAAGCAAAUCCUCACUGGGCUCAGCGAUUUUGUUUCUCUUCUUGUGCUUUUAUCCAUAUCCUCAUUGGAUGAGGGACCUUGAGAAUGCUAGGGAUGGAAAACGAAUCUGGUAGAUAGAGAUCUACACUGGUUAAAGGAUGAGUGUGGCCUCGACUCGUGUCUUCUUGAAGGGGAAUUCGGCUUGCAAAGGAAUGUUUUGCAGUGUAUGGAAUUGAUUAUGAGGGCGAAAUCUACUGGAUUAGAGGCCUAUAUCCCUAGAUUUGAAGAUCUUGUAAAUGAUUGUUCUAACCAUUUUACAAGCAUAAGUGGUCAAAUUAAAUUUCUUCUCUCCUUCCACCCUUCUAUUUCAAAAAUUAUUUAUAAGAUCAAUGUUCUUAAGUUAUUCUAAACUAAGCAAAGGAGAAUAUCUUUCUUGCUUUCCCAUUACAGAGAAGACAGAGAACAAAAGAAAGUUGAGAUUUCAAUUGGGAGAAUCAAUGGGUGGAGCAUUGGCUCUCCUCUUGCACCAAAAAAAGCUAAACUAUUGGAAUGCUGCGGUCUGCUCCCAUGUGUAUGGUUUGCUUCAAUCUCAUCACAUUGCCUCCACGUUUUCUCUUCUUUGGAGUUUCCCUGAGUUCUCCUCAUUAUUAUUUUCCUUCCUGAUCUAACAUAUAAAAUUAAUAAUCGUACUUUUGUUUUAAUUUUACCAUUAGUAAUCGUACUUCUGUUAUAAUUUUACCUGUA